GGGGNGGAGGCCUUGAUCCAGCAAUGCCGCGUGAGUGAAGAAGGCCUUCGGGUUGUAAAGCUCUUUUGUCAGGGAAGAAACGGUGAGGGCUAAUAUCCCUUGCUAAUGACGGUACCUGAAGAAUAAGCACCGGCUAACUACGUGCCAGCAGCCGCGGUAAUACGUAGGGUGCAAGCGUUAAUCGGAAUUACUGGGCGUAAAGCGUGCGCAGGCGGUUUUGUAAGUCUGAUGUGAAAUCCCCGGGCUCAACCUGGGAAUUGCAUUGGAGACUGCAAGGCUAGAAUCUGGCAGAGGGGGGUAGAAUUCCACGUGUAGCAGUGAAAUGCGUAGAUAUGUGGAGGAACACCGAUGGCGAAGGCAGCCCCCUGGGUCAAGAUUGACGCUCAUGCACGAAAGCGUGGGGAGCAAACAGGAUUAGAUACCCUGGUAGUCCACGCCCUAAACGAUGUCUACUAGUUGUCGGGUCUUAAUUGACUUGGUAACGCAGCUAACGCGUGAAGUAGACCGCCUGGGGAGUACGGUCGCAAGAUUAAAACUCAAAGGAAANUUGACGG
rnacentral:rRNA from 1 species